CUCCAAAUGGCCCUAAACUUUCUGCUCUCUUCCUUCUGCUCAACCUCAACCCCAACCUUUAUUCCCAUUCUGGGUUCAUUCAUUCCGUCAUCGCCGCUUCUUCCCUUCAUUUCAUCAUUGUGGGCUUUCAAUUUUGGUGUUGUCGUCUAUCUGCAGAUUGAGAAUCACUAUUGGUGAUGGCAUUAAUCAUGAGACCUGGAAGCAUCAAUUCUUUUGGGAAUCUAUGAAGCCCAAUAGAGGAGGAGAGUUAUCUGGUAAAUUAUUAGAACUAAUUAAUAUAGACUUUGGUUCCUAUGAUACAUUUGUUAAUGAAUUUAAGGCAGCUGCGGCAAUACAAUUUGGCUCAUGUUGGGCCUGGCUUAUAUGUGAGAAUUUCUUUGCCUUUUAUCUGCAUAAAUUCAUGUGUCUGCUCAACCCUUUUGUUAUAAUUAAGCCAAAUGGCUGAAAAGUCAUUUAUUUGUUACUUCGUAGAUAAAAUUUGAAAACGAAAAACUUGCUCUGGUGAAAACUCCUAAUGCUGAAAAUCCUCUUGUUUUGAGUUACUUAAUGAGUAAAACACAUGCUUCUCUAUUUUCUUUGUUCAUGGGGAUUUUAUCUUACAUAUCCUAGUAGUUAUAUAAUAGUUGAAAUCUCACAUUUUAUCUUACAUAGCCUAGUAGUUUAUAUUACUGGAUGCUUCAUGGAUACCACUAAACUUUUACAAGGACACACAUGAUGAAAGCUGUUUGAACUCCAUUUGGUUCCCCUUCUUUCUACCCUUACCGACAUGAGCUAUCAAAUGCUUAGGUUUUAACUCAAAUUCAUUGUUAUAUGUAUCCAAAUGGAAUUUACCUCCUCUUCCUAUGCCCUCACCUCCAUUCUCUCUUUCUUGCACUUUAGAUACAUGUCUUAAGAUGCGUAUGGCUCUGUUUCUUGAUUCAUGAGAAUUUUCAGAUGCCAAACUUAAGGCUAGAACACAACAAGAUUAUGACAUAAGGAAGGAAGCCAACAAUUAUUUUCGUUGGAUGGAGCUAAAUGCCUUUGCUGGUCUUUGUGGUCUUUUCCUUUCUAAGUGGCUAGUUGCAAAAAGAGACAAAAAAUAGAAAACGUUAGAAAGUGGUGAGGGAGUGUUUAUGAAUAAGAUUUGAAGCUUAGCAUCAAAGCUUUGGCUACUCUCAUCAACGGGUGUCUAUAUAACACAAUUGAAGAUGUAAUCUAAAGGUCAAUGAAAUGAGUAAAACUUAUAGAGAACCAUGACUCAAAUUACAAUAAGGGUGGAAAUCUCACAUUUUGUUCCUUAAUAAGGGACUAAUAAUAAGUGGAGCCAAGUCUUGCUACUUAAUUUAAAAUUGUGCUUUUCAUUCAUAGCUCAUUUGCAUAAGCUUUCUAAUUUGCUUGAAAUCAUGAUUUUCAUUCAUAGAUCAUUUGCAUAAGCUCUCUAAUUUGCUUGAUUGUUUAGUUUUUAUUUAACUUAUAAUUCAAAGAUUUUAAGUCCUCAAAGGUUAAAAAAGUUGACAUUAA